GAUGAACGCUAGCUACAGGCUUAACACAUGCAAGUCGAGGGGAAACGGCAUUAAGUGCUUGCACUUUUUGGACGUCGACCGGCGCACGGGUGAGUAACGCGUAUCCAACCUUCCCAUGACUAAGGGAUAACCUGCCGAAAGGCAGACUAAUACCUUAUGGUCUUCACUGACGGCAUCAGAUGUGAAGUAAAGAUUUAUCGGUUAUGGAUGGGGAUGCGUCUGAUUAGCUUGUUGGCGGGGUAACGGCCCACCAAGGCAACGAUCAGUAGGGGUUCUGAGAGGAAGGUCCCCCACAGUGGAACUGAGACCCGGUCCAAACUCCUACGGGAGGCAGGAGUGAGGAAGAUUGGGCAAUGGGCGGGAGCCCGAACCAGCCAAGUAGGGUGCAGGAUGGCGGCCCUAUGGGUUUUAAACUGCUUUUGGAAGGGGAUAAAGUCAAUCACGUGUGAUUGUUUGCAGGUACCAUACGAAUAAGGACCGGCUAAUUCCGUG
rnacentral:rRNA from 1 species